CAAUGCUGUUACGUCGAAGAAAAGGGUGUUUUUAUACAUCCAAGUGCCUAAGAAUUUUGCUAGACUGGUUUACAUCCGGUUUAAUCGCAGUGAAUCGAAAGAUAAGUUCUGAUUGGUUAAUAAUAACAUAAAUCUGCUCGUCAAUAAGGUGGCGAAACUGAUAACAAUUUAUGGCGAGUAUGUGUCAAAUGUUUGAAAGGAGUUAUUCAUAUAGAUACUGGGUAGUUUGGCCUUUCAACAAUGAAAUGCGAGAAUAAUGAAGAAGAUUGACAAAUAUCGAUAAGAAAUUAAAGAAUUUAUUUCAUUAUUGACCAAUCAGAACUUACCUUUCAAUUUACCUUUCGAUUCACUGCGAUUAAACCGGAUGUAAACCAGUCUAGCGAAAUUCUUAGGCACUUGGAUGUAUAAAAACACCUUUUUCUUCGACGUAACAGCAUUGGAGCGGAACGAAUGUAUACAUAUGUCAUUACAAACAGAUUAAUUCGUGUGAUUGCUGUGAGGGGUGACAUUGAUGGUGUACACCUUUAGCAGCAAUUCCUGGUCAUCAGUCACGGUCCGAAUGUUGGUGUAACUCACCUGUAACAUUACAUCAUCAGUCAAUUAUAUUAAUUUCUUAAAAUGUUAUCAGUAAGCUUUGCAUACAGAAAAGAGGAUGUUGCCAAAAAAAAAAGCGGAAUUACUACCAGUACCUAACAAGGAAAGAACCUUUAAAUAUUCGUAUUGCUUCUUUGAGGAUUCCCCUUUUAUAAAGCGUUCGUGAAAUCUGCUAUAUUUGAACGUGUAAUCAUUUAUCAAAUUUAUAUCAUGGCCUUAUAGAUAUAAAUAUUAGUACAAACUUUCCGGAUAAAAUUCUACACUGCUUUAUGUAAAACGUUGCAUGCAACUAAUAAAAGAUUUACAUCGAAUUCUGUAACUUUGAUUUUUCGAUCUUAUCUGCAACUCCUGUAGGGAAAAAUAGAAUAUGAACUGCAACACCCUCUUUGUCUUUAAAGAUAUGCAAUUCAUGCACGUGUAUUGUAGCAAUAAAUUUGUGCUUGUGAAUAAUUAGCAUGUAGAUUCAAAGAUCAAAAUGAAAACUAUGGCUAAUUUCAAAGCAUAUACAUGUAGCUAACGUAAUUAUAAAUCUAUCAUAUCAAAACUAUUUAUCUUAUAUUACAUUAUUCAUUGUGAACAUCACUCGAGAUAUUGAAUCAUAAUAAAGAUAUUAAUUUAAUUGCUCUCUUUGGUGAUACAUGUAGGAAGAUAUUUUCUGCACUUCAGAGAAAUACAGCAGCCGCAUAAGCCGAUUAUACUAAACAGAAAACUACAGAUCGGCAGCUAAAGUCAUAAUUGAUAACAAGAUUUUUCAUACCAUUUUUCAUAUACCGGACAGAGGGAAUAUUUGUCAUUGUUGUAUUGUAUUAUAUAUGCAAAGUUUGAAUGGAAUUUUAGAAUAAAUCUUUUAAUAUUUAAGUAUGUAAAUCAACGUUGAUAUCUGAUUAGCAAAA